rnacentral:lncRNA from 1 species
GAGACGUGGGAACGGGAAAAGGCGGACCACGUGACACCUCGGGCUUGUGGCGCUCCGGGCUUGCUAGGCUCACUCCUAACUUGCCUCGGCGAGUGUCACUGAGUGUUGCCUGUUUGGACUCUGAACUAGACAGUUCUAGAUCUGAUAGAAAGAACAGGAGUUGCUCAGUGUGUGUCGGCAUCCAGCCACAGGUCAGCUGGGUCCUGCUCAGCUGUCACAGCAAAGAGACUACUGUGCAGAGCUGUAGCCUCAAGGGAAGCUGACUCCCUUCUCAAGUCACUGGUCCUUUGAAUACUUAGGGAAGAAAUCAUGUAAAGGCAAUUGUUACUUAGAGUCGUUUAAAGAAAUCUGG